UACGGGGGGGGCAAGCGUUGUUCGGAAUUACUGGGCGUAAAGGGCUCGUAGGCGGCCAACUAAGUCAGACGUGAAAUCCCUCGGCUUAACCGGGGAACUGCGUCUGAUACUGGAUGGCUUGAAUCCGGGAGAGGGAUGCGGAAUUCCAGGUGUAGCGGUGAAAUGCGUAGAUAUCUGGAGGAACACCGGUGGCGAAGGCGGCAUCCUGGACCAAUAUUGACGCUGAGGAGCGAAAGCUAGGGGAGCAAGCGGG
rnacentral:rRNA from 1 species